rnacentral:lncRNA from 12 species
AUAUGUGUGUGUGUGUGUGUGUGUGUCUGUGUGUGUUAUUAUAAUAUAUAUAUACACCAACUCUGGAAUAUCAAAAUUGUGUUUCCAUCCCUAAUACUUCCAAGCAUUGCUGUCACCAAAUUUCAUCAGCCAACUAUCUGCUAUGGCCUGUCAAACAGAAUCCACGUGCAUGAUCUGGAUUUUGUUGACACACAAGCUUGUCUUCAUCCAUCCUCCAUGCUAGAAGACAUUAAAGAACACUGCUGGUUAAGUGACCUGCAACCCCUUAUUGGAAUCUCUGGGACAGAGGACUUGCUGCCUCUUGAGGAAAUAAACCUAUAGAGAAAAAAAGACAUGUUUUAUGAGUAAGGGUCUCACUAUUUUGUGAAAGAACUAAAAAAGAAAGUGGAUAUUUGUAUCACAUGGAAAAAAAAGAAAGUGUACUAAAUUCCUAACAAUCACCUUCUUGUCAAAAGAUGUAAGAAAAAUUAAAAUGUAAACAUCUGUACUUUCAAAAUUAAAGCAACUCAAACUUGAACAAGGAUACAUUUUUUACUUAAACCAUAGGGGUAAUUUUAUUUAUUUAUUUAUUUAUUUAUUUAUUUAUUUAUUUAUUUAGAUUUAUUUAUUUGAGAGAGAGAGAGCAUGGGAUGGGGAGGGGUAAGGGG